rnacentral:lncRNA from 1 species
CUCAGGAAGCUGCUCGUCUUCAUAUGAAAGUCUCAGAGCGCCUCAAGAAGUCAGCGAACGUCCCAGAAACUCCCAGAGAGAUGAGAGCCUUUCAGACGCUAGGGUGUGUGUCAGAUGCCAUCAGGGCUUUCUUUAUCACUGAGAUUAAGUAUGCUUUGAUCGGAGGAGGGAUCGGCCUGUUUUUUGCUCUUGUGUUCAUUCUCGUAAAGAUCUGGAUCAUCAGGAAACAAGUGCUUGAAAACAGCACAGACAGCAUCAGGAGACAGUCAGAGCUGCACACGCUCCCAUCGAGCCUUCUCAGCCAAUCGCCAGUGAGCCAAAGUGUCCGGUAACAUGUGGUGUCAAAGGUCACGCAGAGUGAUGUGCACAAGAACCCUGCAAAAGUGACACCUGAGUGGAGGCGCAACCAGGCGACCCAUCGUCUCCUCACGUUCAGUCGCACAAAUGUCAAACUACAACUAUUUAACCUCAUUUACCAUCUUAAUAAUGUCCGUCACUCUUGACAAAAAGAAAAAUAAAUAUGGCUGCAAGCAGCA